rnacentral:rRNA from 1 species
UGGGGGAUAUUGCACAAUGGAGGACACUCUGAUGCAGCGACGCCGCGUGAGUGAAGAAGUAUUUCGGUAUGUAAAGCUCUAUCAGCAGGGAAGAAAGGCUCGUAAGAGAGAUGACGGUACCUGACUAAGAAGCCCCGGCUAACUACGUGCCAGCAGCCGCGGUAAUACGUAGGGGGCAAGCGUUAUCCGGAUUUACUGGGUGUAAAGGGAGCGCAGACGGUUAUGCAAGUCUGAAGUGAAACCCCACGGCUCAACCGUGGGCUUGCUUUGGAAACUGUAUAACUAGAGUACUGGAGAGGUAAGCGGAAUUCCUAGUGUAGCGGUGAAAUGCGUAGAUAUUAGGAGGAACAUCGGUGGCGAAGGCGGCUUACUGGACAGCAACUGACGAGUUGGCUCGAAGGCGUGGGGAGCAAACAGGAUUAGAUACGGUGGUAGUCCACCGGGUAAACGAUGAAUACUAGGUGUUGGGUGCCAUAGGCACUUAGUGCCGUCGCUAACGCAGUAAGUAUUCCACCUGGGGAGCAUGUUCGCAAGAAUGAAACUCAAAGGAAUUGACGGGGACCCGCACAA